GGACUGCCCGGUAUCUGAGCAGCCGGCGCUCCAUAAGAUUCGCUGGAAGUCGAUGUCACGAGAGUCAACACGGAUUUGGCGGUACAUCUUCGCGAUGUCCGCCGCAUAUACAUACCGGAAUUGCCGCCAUCGCAAGAUCACUGCAGGUAACUCCGUCUGGAGUUUCGGACCUGCAUGCAAAUGAUCGUUUAACGAAGUCGAGUUUGUCGUUCGACUUGACGCGUUAAAAACGACUCUCAAUCGCGUAGUGAGACUGCUGUCUCGGAUGACAGGAUGAUGCGGAAUAUAUACGUGCUGAGCGGAAAGAACUGAAUCCGGAAUUUGACGCAUAUGACCGAGCGCUUCGUAUUCGCGCAAGAAAUCGACGUAGUCGGAUUUUAGAACAGCGUUCGACCGAAAUCGUCGGUGAAGACUGGAGAGUGAACGCUCGGCGAUAAAACGCGAUUCACCAAUGUCGAUUGGUGGACCGCGCCUGAACGGCAGACGCACGACGUACCGACCGUCAGCAUCGCGCGAAUGUGUUUGUGCGAAGUGCUGUUCGCACUGUUGUUCUUCUGGGCUGAGAAGUGCGCGACGCGGCACUUCUUCGACUUCCCAGAAACAUCUGAGUUCUCGAUCGAGAGUAUCCGCGCUCGCGCAAUGCUGCACGGUAACCGAUCGAUGCGGCGCACCGGCAUCCGACGUGGGGCCUGAGAGGACCCAGCCGAAGAUCGUCCGCUGGGCGAUCGGUUGUCCGCUCGUUCCUUUCCGAAUACCGUCAAGCAAUAAUUCGGGAUAAAGGUCCGCACCGAUGAUGAGGUCGAUAGAUUCGGCACUGACGGGAGUCGGAUCCGCGAGCGCAAGAUCCUGAAGAUAGCUCCAAUCGCACAGAGAGAAUGCCUUUGAUGGCGAGUAUUUAGUUAAAACUUUGAGUAUCGACGCGGUCGUCGUUAACACCGGUGAGUUAGAAUUGAUCGGAGCGAUCUUGACUUGAGCGGCGAAACGACAAAUGCCCGCAUCUACGCCGCCGACGGCGGAAAUCGAAAGAGGCAAUCGAACGCGUUGCAAUUUUAAAUUUUGAGCGAGACGCUCUGUGAUAAAGGUGAUUUCUGAGCCUUGAUCAAGGAGCGCUCGCACGUUGAGUGUACGACCCGACGGCGAAAAAACAGCAACACGGGCGGUCGCGAGUAGUACAUUUUUGCGCGUGGUUACCGUCGAAGUAGAAAAUAGUGCCGUUACUGAGUCGUUUUCUUUUUUAUCCGACGUCGCGUUUAACACGGUCGUUGAGUUUGGAUUGCUAGAAGAAGAGGUCGAGUCAGAAUGUAGCAUCGAGUGAUGUCUAUUUUGACAGAUUCGACAUGAGUAUUUGCUCGGGCACGCUUGCACGGCGUGCUUCGAGCUCAAACAAUUAAUACAGCGAUGUGCUGAUUUAAUGAGUUCAGAUCGCUGACUCGGCGUCUUCUUCAAGAAUUGCGGGCAUUUACUCAAAAAAUGCGCAGCUUGACACAAAGGAUACGCGAGUUUUGAAACGGUCGCUGAUGCGCUUGACACCUUUUGCCCACGCAUUUUUUCCGCUUUCGACGGUGACAAUUCUUCAAGCGCGCGAACACGCAUCUCGAGGAACCGAUCGAGAGCUUCGAACAACGGAAUUUGCGGGUCCUCACCGGUUUUCAAUCGCCAUGCCUUCCGAGUAGCAUGAUCCAAUUUUUGCGACACGCAGUGAACGAGAAUGUCACUGAGCAUCUCCUCGGGCGACCGCUGAAGAGCUCUCAGCGAGGCGAUAGCCCGAUUCGCUUUGUCGCGAAGUUCGUUGAGUUCGCACGCGGACUCGCGCGUAGCCGUCGGGAGAUCGAAUAAGGCGGAUACGUGCACUUCGACUAAUCGGCGCUUAUUAUCGAAGCGUGAGGCGAGUGUUUUCCACGCGAUCUCGAAAUUCGUAGCAGUAAUCGGAAUAGAUUUAAUGGUAUCUAACGCGCGACCAGUGAGGCUUGAGGCUAAAAAAUGCAUACGCGAAAAGGGAGUGAGAUCUUGGUUUUGAAUAAUAAGCGAAGUAAAUCGAUCUCGAAAAGAUUCCCAUUCAUCGAGGUUCCCGGAAAAGGGCGGGAGUUUAAUCGGCGGUAAAUGCGUGAGCGAGAAAAAUGAACGAUCUAUUGUACUCAUCGGAUGCAGCGGAGACGAUGACAUCGAUGGUGCAGGUUCCAGCUCCUCGAGGCAGUCGGCCAUGUAGUCCAGCGUGCCUUCGUAAAUCUCCUGGUGACGCUCGAACUCGGCGUCUCGGAAGUAGCUGAUGUUAGCUCGUUGCUCUAGUGGGACGAUCUGCACGAGGUUGGCGUGUUUGUUCACACAGGUAGUCCAGUUCUCCUUCAAGGUCCCGAUCCGUUGCCGAAUUUUUGCGGCAGUGUAAUUGUUCUUGCCGAUCUUCUUAAAAUUAGUGAGACUUCGCUCGAUAGUUUGCAGCAGAAUGAUCUGCUGCGCCAGAGGCUCGCUCAUGGUAAAGCUCGCUUUGAACUCUCCUUGCUUCGAGGUAGGCGCCUGUCACCGCGCUGGAGUGGAGGAGGCCACAGAACAGAUCCGCACAGAGUCACCCCGAUCCGGCUCGAAGGACCAAAUUUUAUGUUCGUGAUUCGAGGAGUUUCACUCGAAUGUCGUGAACGCGUGCGGCGGGUUCCGCUCCGCGAGAACGCGGGAUGAAUGUGCGAUGAGAGAGACGGCGGUAUAGCGUUGAGAAGGAGCGAGAGAGACAGAGUGAUAGAACGUUGAGAAGGAAAGAGAGAGACAGAAUGAUAGUGGACCGCGACCGCGAGACUGAAGAUUGAAGACGGGAGCGAGCGAGAGGAACAGAUUUAUAAAUGCACCAUGGUUGAAUCAAAUUAACAACACUGUCAUUUAUUCACUUUGUCCGAAUUAAAUAUAAUGAUGCGAAUCGUAUCACGGACGCGACACUUAGAUAGAGUUCCGCGUUCCCGUUACUAAUGAUAAGUCCGCCAAGUUGUUCGAAUUCUCAAGGUGCAGACGCGAUCUCGAUCGUAUGAUUUUUCGUUGGCUUCUGACAAAGAGUCGGCGGGAACGCCGGUUCGCUCCUCAAUUUGCCCAUGCGAGAAGAAGCAAAAAAACAGUUUGACCGGGAAACACUUCAAGGUGUUUUCUGCGUGCGAAAGUCGUGAUAGAACAACGAAUAAACAAGAGACGUUGAAAACAAGUCGAAGGGUACUUUCGCAAACGAGAAUCUGUCGACGAGAGUCAUGCCAAAAUAUUUAAUUUUUAAGACGAUAAUCACAAAGGACGGCCGUUACUGCGAGGCUGACACAAAUAACGCGAGUAAUUUAAAAAUAUUGACACAAUAAGCAAGAUCGAACGACUUGGCGGACCGACAAUUUGAACGACAUAAAUUUACAGAAUAGAUAGACUCGAAUUUAAUAAAAGUGUUGACGGUCCUUAACAUAUAGUCUAUAUUAACUCAAUUCAAGGAAGACUUCCAAUUUUUCCUCGUACGACACUACAGGUCAUCACAAGUCUAUACUUAUACAUAUCUUAAAAGAUGUAGGGUUGUAUAAAACAACACUUCUAGCAUACCAUUAGGAAAGUACUUGAUAUUAUGGUAUUUCUCACUACAUCAGGAUACCGAAGCCACAACUCAAGCUCAGUAUUCUUUUCCUUAAUAUUAUGGAUAGAAAGACCAGCUAUAUUACUAUCAGGGCAACAAUUGUAUCACCGAUAAGAGAUUAAUUAAAGAGUCUCACACAUUUCUUAUAUCCAGUCUAACUUAGUUGUUUAAUUAAUUAACACGCAUCAAGAGAAUCACAGUUUAUCAUAUAUAUUAAUAAACAAAUGUUUUACGUGUUAUAUUCCAUCACUGUAUUAAACACAGAUCUAGCACAGUGCAAGAAGAGCAAAUUAUGCUACGAUUAUAGUCUAUAUUAACUCAGUUCAAGGAAGACUUCUAAUUUUAUUCUUCAUACGACAUUGCAAGUUAUCACAAGUCUAUACUUAUAUAUAUUUA